rnacentral:rRNA from 1 species
UACAGAGGUCUCAAGCGUUGUUCGGAUUCAUUGGGCGUAAAGGGUGCGUAGGCGGCGGGGUAAGUCGGAUGUGAAAUCCCGGGGCUCAACCCCGGAACUGCAUUCGAUACUGCCUUGCUAGAGUACUGGAGAGGAGACUGGAAUUUACGGUGUAGCAGUGAAAUGCGUAGAUAUCGUAAGGAAGACCAGUGGCGAAGGCGGGUCUCUGGACAGUUCCUGACGCUGAGGCACGAAGGCCAGGGGAGCAAACGGG